GUCCCUUAUAGUCAUUGUGUCACUGUUUAUCAUUACUGAUUUUUUGUUAAAAUUGCCCCCAGAAUGCAGGAAUAACGUUUCUAAGCCUUAGAAAAUCAAAAAUUUUCUGGGGAAGCAUGCAUCAACGACUCGACUCAGUAAAUCUAAGGCUGCGUUCAGACUGGGUCCCCGGCACUGGUGCCCGUCACUUGUUUUGGCGCCUAAUUUAAACACGACGCUUCCAAAUGAAAUUGGGCAGAAGUAGCCGGUAUUACCCAACAACGGUACUGUGCUCAACAUGUUUUGGGAACCAGAUUGAACAUUGCACAGCAGUGCCGGGCACUCAGUCUGAACGCAGCCUUAGAAUCC